rnacentral:rRNA from 1 species
GAUGAACGCUGGCGGCGUGCCUAAUACAUGCAAGUCGAGCGAACAGACGAGGAGCUUGCUCCUUCGACGUUAGCGGCGGACGGGUGAGUAACACGUAGGUAACCUACCUAUAAGACUGGGAUAACUUCGGGAAACCGGAGCUAAUACCGGAUAAUAUUUCGAACCGCAUGGUUCGAUAGUGAAAGAUGGCUUUGCUAUCACUUAUAGAUGGACCUGCGCCGUAUUAGCUAGUUGGUAAGGUAACGGCUUACCAAGGCAACGAUACGUAGCCGAUCUGAGAGGGUGAUCGGCCACACUGGAACUGAGACACGGUCCAGACUCCUACGGGAGGCAGCAGUAGGGAAUCUUCCGCAAUGGGCGAAAGCCUGACGGAGCAACGCCGCGUGAGUGAUGAAGGUCUUCGGAUCGUAAAACUCUGUUAUUAGGGAAGAACAAACGUGUAAGUAACUGUGCACGUCUUGACGGUACCUAAUCAGAAAGCCACGGCUAACUACGUG